rnacentral:rRNA from 1 species
UAACUACUGGAAACGGUGGCUAAUACCGCAUAACGUCGCAAGACCAAAGAGGGGGACCUUCGGGCCUCUUGCCAUCAGAUGUGCCCAGAUGGGAUUAGCUGGUUGGUGAGGUAACGGCUCACCAAGGCGACGAUCCCUAGCUGGUCUGAGAGGAUGACCAGCCACACUGGAACUGAGACACGGUCCAGACUCCUACGGGAGGCAGCAGUGGGGAAUAUUGCACAAUGGGCGCAAGCCUGAUGCAGCCAUGCCGCGUGUAUGAAGAAGGCCUUCGGGUUGUAAAGUACUUUCAGCGGGGAGGAAGGUGUUGUGGUUAAUAACCGCAGCAAUUGACGUUACCCGCAGAAGAAGCACCGGCUAACUCCGUGCCAGCAGCCGCGGUAAUACGGAGGGUGCAAGCGUUAAUCGGAAUUACUGGGCGUAAAGCGCACGCAGGCGGUCUGUCAAGUCGGAUGUGAAAUCCCCGGGCUCAACCUGGGAACUGCAUUCGAAACUGGCAGGCUUGAGUCUUGUAGAGGGGGGUAGAAUUCCAGGUGUAGCGGUGAAAUGCGUAGAGAUCUGGAGGAAUACCGGUGGCGAAGGCGGCCCCCUGGACAAAGACUGACGCUCAGGUGCGAAAGCGUGGGGAGCAAACAGGAUUAGAUACCCUGGUAGUCCACGCCGUAAACGAUGUCUACUUGGAGGUUGUGCCCUUGAGGCGUGGCUUCCGGAGCUAACGCGUUAAGUAGACCGCCUGGGGAGUACGGCCGCAAGGUUAAAACUCAAAUGAAUUGACGGGGGCCCGCACAAGCGGUGGAGCAUGUGGUUUAAUUCGAUGCAACGCGAAGAACCUUACCUGGUCUUGACAUCCACGGAAGUUUUCAGAGAUGAGAAUGUGCCUUCGGGAACCGUGAGACAGGUGCUGCAUGGCUGUCGUCAGCUCGUGUUGUGAAAUGUUGGGUUAAGUCCCGCAACGAGCGCAACCC